GCUGGCGGCGCGCUUAACACAUGCAAGUCGAACGAGAAAGGGGAGCAAUCCCUGAGUACAGUGGCGUACGGGUGAGUAACACGUGGAUGAUCUACCUUCUGGUGUGGAAUAACCAUGGGAAACCGUGGCUAAUACCGCAUAAGCUCGAGAGAGGAAAGCAGCAAUGCGCCGGAAGAGGAGUCCGCGGCCGAUUAGCUAGUUGGCAGGGUAAAAGCCUACCAAGGCAAAGAUCGGUAGCCGGCCUGAGAGGGCACACGGCCACACUGGCACUGAAACACGGGCCAGACUCCUACGGGAGGCAGCAGUGGGGAAUCUUGCACAAUGGGGGCAACCCUGAUGCAGCGACGCCGCGUGAGCGAUGAAGCCCUUCGGGGUGUAAAGCUCUUUCGGCAGGGAAGAUGAUGACGGUACCUGCAGAAGCAGCUGCGGCUAACUACGUGCCAGCAGCCGCGGUAAUACGUAGGCAGCGAGCGUUGUUCGGAGUUACUGGGCGUAAAGGGUGUGUAGGCGGUUGUUUAAGUUUGGUGUGAAAUCUCCCGGCUCAACUGGGAGGGUGCGCCGAAUACUGAAUGACU
rnacentral:rRNA from 1 species